GCCUGGGUGGCUCAGUCAAUUAAGCAUCCGACUUCAGCUCAGGUCAUGAUCUCGCAGUUUGUGGGUUUGAGCCCUGCCUCAGGCU
rnacentral:tRNA from 1 species